GCUUAUCACCAUUCCAGAUUGAAUAUACCCAAUCUCGUUUGAUCUCGGAAGUCAAGCAAUCUCGGGCUUGGUUAGUACUUGGAUGGGUGACCGCUUGGGAAUACCAAGUGU
rnacentral:rRNA from 1 species